rnacentral:misc_RNA from 1 species
AACGCAAGUUGCGCCCGAAGCCAUUCGGCCGAGGGCACGUCUGCCUGGGCGUCACGCAUCGCGUCGCUCCCACCAACCUUCCUUUAGGAUGCUUGGCUGGGGGCGGAUACUGGUCUCCCGUUUUUCAUCGAGCGGUUGGCCAAAAUAAGAGUCCCUGUUGACGGGCGCACGACUAGUGGUGGUUGAAAAAACCCGGUAUUCAGUUGCGUGUCUCGUCAAAAGGGUGCAUCUUAACAGACCCAACGCGUUGGUGUGAAUCAAUGCUUCGACCGCGACCCCAGGUCAGGCGGGACUACCCGCUGAGUUUAA